AGUGGCGCACGGGUGAGUAACGCGUAAGUAAUCUACCCCGGCAUCUGGAAUAACUCACCGAAAGGUGUGCUAAUACCGGAUACGCUGGAAACAGGAAAGGUGGCCUCUGAUUCAAGCUACCGUGUUGGGAUGAGCUUGCGUACCAUUAGCUGGUUGGUGGGGUAAUGGCCUACCAAGGCGACGAUGGUUAGCGGGUCUGAGAGGAUGAUCCGCCACACUGGAACUGGAACACGGACCAGACUCCUACGGGAGGCAGCAGUGAGGAAUAUUGCGCAAUGGGGGAAACCCUGACGCAGCGACGCCGCGUGGAUGAUGAAGGCCUUCGGGUCGUAAAAUCCUGUCAGAUGGAAAGAAGUGUAGAGUAGUUAAUACCUGCUCUAUUUGACGGUACCAUCAAAGGAAGCACCGGCUAACUCCGUGCCAGCAGCCGCGGUAAUACGGAGGGUGCAAGCGUUGUUCGGAAUUACUGGGCGUAAAGCGCGCGUAGGCGGCCAUUCAAGUCAGAUGUGAAAGUCCACGGCUCAACCGUGGAAGUGCAUUUGAAACUGGGUGGCUUGAGUACUGGAGGGGGUGGUGGAAUUCCCGGUGUAGAGGUGAAAUUCGUAGAUAUCGGGAGGAAUACCGGUGGCGAAGGCGACCACCUGGCCAGAUACUGACGCUGAGGUGCGAAAGCGUGGGGAGCAAACAGGAUUAGAUACCCUGGUAGUCCACGCCGUAAACUAUUUCAACUAGGUGUUGGGGCGGUUAAUCGUCUCAUUGCCGGAGCUAACGCAUUAA
rnacentral:rRNA from 1 species